UGAUGCUGCUCCUGUGCAGGGUCACUCAGCAGUGCUAAGGCGAAUUCAGCGGGGGCAGAAACCACGGGUAGAGCAAAAGGGUGAAUGCUAGCUGAAAUGAUGAAUUUCAGUAUGGUUGUAGACCACGAAAGUAUGGUACUUCGAUCCUUUUGGCUUUUGAGAGUUUUCGGCAAGAG
rnacentral:rRNA from 1 species